AUUGAACGCUGGCGGAAUGCUUUACACAUGCAAGUCGAACGGUAGAGGGGGCAACCCCUCGAGAGUGGCGAACGGGUGAGUAAUAUAUCGGAACGUGCCCAGUCGUGGGGGAUAACGUAGCGAAAGUUACGCUAAUACCGCAUACGAUCUACGGAUGAAAGCGGGGGACUCGCAAGAGCCUCGCGCGAUUGGAGCGGCCGAUAUCAGAUUAGGUAGUUGGUGGGGUAAAGGCUCACCAAGCCAACGAUCUGUAGCUGGUCUGAGAGGACGACCAGCCACACUGGAACUGAGACACGGUCCAGACUCCUACGGGAGGCAGCAGUGGGGAAUUUUUGGACAAUGGACGCAAGUCUGAUCCAGCCAUUCCGCGUGCAGGAUGAAGGCCCUCGGGUUGUAAACUGCUUUUGUACGGAACGAAAAGGUUUCUAUUAAUACUAGGAGCUCAUGACGGUACCGUAAGAAUAAGCACCGGCUAACUACGUG
rnacentral:rRNA from 1 species